UAAGUCACGAAACAAAAGGGAUUAAUCGUUGUCCGGCUUCCGGCACGUAUUGAGAUGGCUCACAAUCUCGCAUCUCGUUCCGUUGUCCGUUCUUGCGUUUCGGCCUCCAUUGAUGCUUGCCCCGUAAUGAGGCCGACUACCAUUCUCAGUCGGAGGACGGUCCUGAACAGGUCCGUUAAAGAUGAUCGGCGAGGAGUGUUCUUGGCGGCCGCAUACUCAAUUUUUCUUCGUGUCAUUUUCAGGCUGGCGCGCGUCUCGUCAGCCAAUGCAGCCAGCUUGUCUCGGCGCGUAUUGGUAUGCAGGUAAGCUGCAUAUGCGCACCUCCUGGCCACCGGGAUUCUCGGGCUGACUGACGUCGUCUGCAGGGCCUCGGGUGGUGCGACGAUGGCAGGUCCUAUGCCCACGGUAAAGAUCG
rnacentral:lncRNA from 1 species